UCUACAACACGCGGGAGUCCAGUGAACUGGGCUGAGAGGGCGGUUAAGUAACCGUCGACCGUAAGAACCUGAUCCGGGUCAUGCCGGUGUAGGGAGUGCAGGGCCGUCACCC
rnacentral:ncRNA from 2 species